UAACGGCCGCGGUACCCUAACCGUGCGAAGGUAGCAUAAUCACUUGUUCUUUAAAUAAGGACUAGUAUCAACGGCAUCACGAGGGUUACACUGUCUCCUUUCUCCAAUCAGUGAAACUGAUCUCUUCGUGAAGAAGCGAAGAUAUAACUAUUAGACGAGAAGACCCCAUGGAGCUUUAAGCUCAAUAACAAUUUUUAUAAAAAUAAUCCUUCAUGAUACACAAAUCCUGUUUAUUAGCUUUAGGUUGGGGUGACCGCGGAGUAUAACUUAACCUCCACAACGAAAAGGCAUAAAACCCUUAUCCAAGAGCCACUGCUCUAAGAAUCACCAAAUUGACGUAUAAUGAUCCGAUUUUCGAUCAACGGACUAAGUUACCCUGGGGAUAACAGCGCAAUCCAUUUUUAGAGCCCCUAUCGACAAA
rnacentral:rRNA from 1 species